GCUUAUGUGGAAUAAAUUUUAAAAAAAGAAAAUUUUUGUGUGGGGUGACUGUUCCACACUGGCUCACAAGGUGCAUGUGUUAAGAUACUUCUCUUCCCCCUCCACAGGAGUGGCCUUCACUAUCCUGAUGCUGCUGGCCAGCCUGAACUCGUGCACCAACCCGUGGAUCUACACGGCCUUCUCCAGCAGCGUGUCCACAGAGCUGCAGACACUCCUGCACUGCCACUCACAAUCUCGCCGCCGGAGCUCCCUGCCCAACGACUCCACCAUCACGCACGCCUCCAUCACCAAGGACAACCAGUACUGACAAAGACGGAUGAGAUGCCCAAACAUCCACAGCAAGGACAUGUGUGUGCUGUGUUUAAAAAAAACACUGUCCCUACCACCUCCGAUGCUGCUGAGUGACAGAGAGGUGACCCCCUACCAGAUGUUUCUCACAGCUAAGAACAGAGCUGCUGUCAACAGGGACACUAUCUGCAUCACCAGGCCUCUCCAAAGGAAAAAUAACCUUGAAGUAAGAAAAAAAAGGACACCUCAGUAGGCUGUUGAAUUGGCUCUUGUGCACUGAUUCUCACAAGAAUCUUUUAUGUCUCUUGUGCCACAAAGCUGCUGGAAUGCAUUAAUGGAGUUACAACACACCUAAUAUACAACGCAGUACACAGCUACAUGUGCAGAGAUAUCAAAGCAGCAAGCCAACGGAGAGAGAGACAGACAGAGGGAGCUGCUGGACAGAGAACAGACACUGGAUGUCACAGAUGUUCCAGCUGCAGGAGUGCCCCUGAGAACAGGCCGCAUUAGACAUCUAAUAAUGUGGAGAGGAAAAAAACUUUGGUCAAUCAGAGAAAGUCGAUUAGAGAUGGGACGCUUGAGGUAGAAAUCAUAUUCACUCAGGAGGAAUCCGCUUUCAAGAAUCCAUGCAAGCGGGGAAGAGACGGACGAAUGAAGGAGACAAUGCACCGCGGCUAACUGGAAAACCACAGAUUAACACAAACACAAAACUGGAGUCGGUUUACUGCAGCCAAAUGGGCCAAAACCACACACCUGUUUUGUACCAACACAGUAUAUGAAGUAUAUAAGAAAAAAAAAAAUACCUCACUGUCGUUUUCCUGAAAGUAUGUAAAACAAGUGAAUUUUAUGUUGGGGAAACAGAAUAAGAAAUGUUUGAUUGCAUUCCAUGUACAGUGUAAAGAAUAAUUUAUUGAAAGUCUGCACAGUAUGGCACAUUAGUGUUACUAAAGUAGCCUAAUGUGGUGUUUAUGUAGCAUACAUGUUGAAUGUAAAUCAUAUAAUGUACGAGUCAACACUGUACACUGUAACAUUUAAGAAAGAAGUCAAACCAAAGCCUUUAUUAAGUUGGAUAAUAGAUUCUAUUUGGGUUUUGAUGGAGGAAAGCUUGGAAAACAGAAAGCAUCAUUUCAUUCUGAUCCUAAAGGUCAUUUAUUAGAGUCCAUAUGUCUGCCAUGUUGAAGUAGACCAGACCCUCAAAGAGCUCAUCCACAAGCCAACGCCAAAACAUCUUUGAAUUUUACGUCUUGGAUUAGCAAGAUUAUUGGAGAUCUAAUUACACCUGAGCGCUGUUUCACUUAGUUGUUGUCGGUGACAGAACAGACAGUACUGUGCAAAAGUCUGAAGCAUCCUCAUUUCUGUAUCAAUAUGAUUGUCAUGUUUUUCUUCAUCAUUAUGUCAGUAAAUGACAAAAUUUGAAUUUUCAAAGAAUUUAAUAUUUUUUGAAGAUUUUUUUUUUUGCCAAUUCUAUAAGAGCUGGGUGUUCAAGAAAGUAACAAACGUGGUUAAAUUAAAUUUGUUUACUUUGUAGAUUUACAAAUUAAAUACAUAAUUCCUCAAAAACAACAAAGUGGAAAUAAUAACAAUCAAAAUGUAAUGAAGUGAUUAAUAUGGCAUGCAGCAACAGGUUAGUUCAGCCAAAAUAAUUCAGUGUGAAAUGCAAAUUUUUCAUGUUUAGUAUUUUGUACAGGGAAGUACAUAAUAUUAAGAAGCUUUUCAUACAUGUGCUGUUUAAUUUUAAGAUUAAGAUUAAUCAGAUUAAGAUUUUCACACAGUACUGUAUAUAACUGAUGUAUGAUAUUCAGCCCACAGGUGUGUUUUCUCCAAGGUGGAACAGCUCAUCUGUUCAUCUGACCAACAAUGAUGCUAUAAUUUAAAAAAAAAAAAUGGAAGGGGUUUGGAAUUCUACAUUUUGAAAUCUUGAAAAACGUAUCUCACAAUUUUCAGUGAAACCAUGAAAGGAAAAUUCUGAGGCAGAUAUGGAUCACCAUCAGCCAGCUCUUUCCAGAAGGAAGGAUCAUCUCUCCAGAAACUUUUUCUGAAAUUUGAGAUUCACAGGAUGAGACUUUUUCAAAAAGCUUUAUAUCUGCAGCCCGCUGACAUUACAGGCACUGGAUUAAUAUUACAACGAUGUCAGCUGUGUUAUUCUUAGCUCUAACACCACAGCAGGGAUCCUUAGGAAUGUUACAGCACUCCUUGAGCCAUGUGUACUUCAACUGUUUAUUUAUUGAUGUAUAAAAAAUACACAUUUUCUGUUUAUGUCACAUUUUUUCUGGGUUUAAAAAAAAAGCAUUAUACUUUUCAUCUGGGUG